AAGCCCACAGGCCUGGGUGUUGUUGUUUAGUAACCAAGCCAUCAUUUAGGUUGUGUUGUUUAGUAACCAAACCUGAAGGCAGCAGCAAAGAAGAGGAUGAAGAAGUACUUCCCCCUCUGUUUUCCCGAGUUCAGGGAGUGGAGAAGAGAAUCAAAGACCGGAAAAGAGGACGAUCCGUGUGCUGUACAAAGUGUGGAGGAGUAGGACAUAACAAGUCUACUUGCAAAGAGGAUUGAUCAUCGACGGCCUGCUUCUGCUCACUACAUUUGUACAGAGCCACAUUUUCUGUAAUCUUACUGAAUCAUCUGCAGUGAUGCUUUACAAUGUAAUUUGGUGUGCCUCAUCCAUAAACUGUGAUAAUACAUGAUCGUGUAUAUAACUCUUGACGCGUAAUCUUCAAAUAACUAAUUCUGAUA